GCGACAGGCGACGGGCGACGGCGGCGACAGAUCCGACGACGGCGGGGAAAGGAGACAGCGGUGGGCAAAUCAAGACGGCGCCGACGAGAUCCUCCUCCGGCGACUGGUCCCCGGUCUGCCAUGGACAGCAGCUCCGAUGAGUCAUCAGAGCUAAAUGAUACCGAUAUUGAUGACUAUCCAGGAUACUUAUUUGUCAAGUUGUUGCAUCUCUGUUCCUUGUUCCUGUUCGAGAAAAUUGCAUUACAAUGAGUUCAUGUUAAAUAGUGUUUGUGUAAUGCCGUUUAAAAUUAUACCUAAUACUUGGUUAUGAACUGGUUGUGCAUUACACAAUCAAAGAUUGAGUUUUUAAUUUAGUGGUUGUCCAUUAUCA